AAAAGAAAAGAAAAGAAAACCCCAAGUUAUUAUAGUGCUGCUGUAUUGCGUAUAUAUUUGUACUUAGAUACAUAUUUUGUGCAUAUCAAAAUAUGCUGUUUUUCCCCGUUAAUUUCCCGUUACAGCAAGUAUACGGGCAUUCGAAGCAAAAAUGGUUCGAAUUUUUAAUCGGCGAUUAAAGGAAACAAUUGAUUCUCCUUGCGUAGGUUGCUGUACUGCGUCCUUUAAUUAAAUAAUGAUAAAACAAAGCAACCUAAAAUCUGUUUUUUCCUCGUUCAAUUGAUAACGCAUUACCACAUACAGGCGUACGGAUGCUGAAGGCUAAAAUCAAAUCAAAAAAGCAAUCAAAAGACAACGUUUGGCACGCCCGGAGUUUUUUGUAUUGUGUCUUUUGAUGAAAAUAUUAAUCGAUCAACCAUUGUAGGAGUGCUGGCGUAUCGGACUAUUAAAAGCAAACCAAAACUGUGACUAUCAACAGACAAACUUUUCCAACCAGACAUCUGCUACAAUCGAUUGAUCUUCAAUACAAACAUUAUCAUGGGAGUUAUCGGUUUAGUUGCGAGAGUAUUUUUCGUGCUACUUUUGGCUGGAAAAGUGUCUCAGGAAAGCUGCCCUGUUAUCUCCGAGCAGGGCGUCGCGUUGCUGGGCUAUACGUUUGAAUCGUUCAUUUCGAGUGAGUUCUGGGAGUGUUAUCGGAUGUGCCGCGAUGAGAUCCAAUGCUGGAGCCUCAACUACCAUCUGGAGUCUCGCCGCUGUGAUCUUAACAGUGAAACCAGGGAAAGACAACCGUCAAAAUCCGUGAGGAGAGACUCGAUCGUUUAUUUUGACGACAGAAAAGCACACAAUAAAGGAAUUUUGCGCUCAUGUAAAGACUUGGAAGUUCUCGCAGGCAGGCGGUCAGGGGAGUAUUGGAUUGACCCAGAAGCUAACAGAACACUGGUAAAAGAAUACUGUUACUUUGACAUCGGUGAGUUGAAUAAUCCCUUCUCGGGACAGGGAGUAUUAGAUCGACCAGGAAGCUAACAGAAUACUGGUAAAAGCAUCCUUUUACUUGACAUCGGUGAGUUGAAUAAUCCCUUCUCGGGACGGGAGUAUUAGAUCGACCAGGAAGCUAACAGAAUACUGGUAAAAGCAUCCCUUGAACCUUUUGUCGUGCGAGCAUUAGCGUGUAUGUCAAACCAGGGGUAUUCCUUUGUAGAGCUUUUUUUUAUGGUUGCUACAAAAGCCCUCUCAGGCUUCUGACAACAAGUAAAGUGCUAUAGCAGCAGGAUUUGAAGUGGAGCCAAACACUCUAUUGGCACCCAAGGUGUAACCGCUGUUAGAAAAUAUUGAGCCGAUUUUGGGCGGGACAGGAGCAAAUCGAUUAACUCUUUAUGGUACUCUUUCAGCAGGGUACGGCAGUUGCGAGAACAUCACCAGGUACAGCGCGUGUAAAUCCCCUCAUUUUUGUUCAUCCUAAGGAUUUUUUUUAGAUAUUGGUUUUGUUAACAGUUAUUUGGCCAAAUUAACGGAACCAGAUGCUGUUCGAUCUGUAGUUUGAAAGGGUGCGCUACUUACGCGACCCUCUUUAAGGUUGUGCAGUUAAACGCAAAUAAAAUUCUAUUUUUAUUCAAAAUUCUUAUUUCAUGUUAUUUUUUGCAAUUAUAAAGACUCGGGGUAUUUGUAUUCUCGCCAUAAAAACAGCAUCUGUCUCUGGCACUUCUACAUGUUCCUUAAAUGUUAUUUUUGCACCUUUUCCGCAGUAAAGUUGAUGGUGCGUAUGUUCUGGAUAUCAAUGGUGACCGCGUCGAGGUCUGGUGCCAAAUGACGAACUUGACGGGUUGUGACCCGGGCAAGUGGACUCUGGCCGCAAAGGUUGACGGAAAAAAGGCAAGGAUCAGUGUUUCACGAGAGUGGUUUCUAGUACUGAAGAAUUAACAAAGCAGUGCAAUGCACAGGCAAAAUACAAAAUAAGAAAAGCAUAGGAAACCAAGGACAGAAGUAACAUAAUUUGAUAGGCGACUCCUGGCUUUUUUGGGGCUGAAUUUACAAAAAAACAGAGUAAAAACAGAUACCUCCCCCUAGCCUGUAGUGCAGGCGUUUGCCUAUUUACCCGGUGAUUUUAUAGCGAGCUUUUAUUUGGCUAAAGAGUAGUUGCAUCACCUUGGUUGGAUACAUAUCUUCAAGACCAUUUAUCCCUUAGACUGAUUAUCUUUAUCUUGUUGUGUUUAUUUUGCAUUUACGAAUUGUUUGGGUUGUGGGUACUUCUCAAAGUCGGUACACGCCGGUUGAGGGGUCAAUGUGUUAAACUAAAAAUUUCUCACUAAUUUCGCGGAUUUCACAUUGUUUGUUCAUACGAAUAGGUCUUCAAAGCGCCCUUUUGUUUUCCCGGCAAAUGGCGUUGUUAUCUCCCACGUGAAAAACGAAACGAACGCAGACGCGGAAAUCGGCUUUGCUGCUUUAAAUUUCCCAUUCUCCAUUCAUUUUAUUAAAAAUCUUUUGUCUGCUUAAAUAUCUUUUAACUGUAUGACAAUAAAUAUCAGUCUGCCCUGAAGAAGUCGUAUGAAAGACGAAAAUUUGGCAGAAUCGAAUACCAGUUUUUGGUGUAUUACAAUAAAUAUCAAAUGAAAUGUUCUGCCUUUGGGUAGGUCACUUGGCUCUCCACCGGUUGUUCCUCAGUACUAACGCAUCUUUUUAUGUCAGCAAACCUUCCUAUAUGACUCCACCUACUGGACUGACAAGAAUGGCUAUAACUAUGAAGGCGGCAAGGCGCUAGAUGACGAACAGGAGACCAAGCUCCCAACGUUCUGGGCCACGCCCAUGAAGCACGUGUGCAUUGGCAUGAGGAAUGUAAUCGUCUGGAGGUACGGUGGAAUGGCUGCAGCUGACCGUGCGAGAGCUCACUACACUUUACGAAGUCUUUUCGACCAACAACCAUCAUCCCACCAAUAUUCCCC